GAUAUUUCUUAACUUUUAAGCAAUUUGGAAUUUUCGUCACAAUUUCAAAAAAGAAAAAACCAAAAAUAUUCUUGUUUACUUUGAUCCAAAAUGUCUCUCCCGGAGUGGCCAACAAUUGCGCAAUUUUCGACAACAACGCGACGAGGACGAUUACGAGGCUGUUGCUGUGGCUUUCCUCCACUCGCAUCAAUGCACAAAUGGUCACUAAAACGUCGGACUGUUGUGGCCAGUUUCGACCACAUUGCAACGGUAGCACUAAGGGGUUGAUAUGAUAUGCUUGUGUGUUGGGGUAUUUGGUUUGGGAAAGCCACCAAAAAAUAUUGCCUGUAAAGCAGUAGAAUAAUAAAUUAAAUUCUAAAUUUUGUA